rnacentral:rRNA from 1 species
UGGGGAAUUUUGGACAAUGGGGGAAACCCUGAUCCAGCCAUCCCGCGUGUGCGAUGAAGGCCUUCGGGUUGUAAAGCACUUUUGGCAGGAAAGAAACGUCAUGGGUUAAUACCCCGUGAAACUGACGGUACCUGCAGAAUAAGCACCGGCUAACUACGUGCCAGCAGCCGCGGUAAUACGUAGGGUGCAAGCGUUAAUCGGAAUUACUGGGCGUAAAGCGUGCGCAGGCGGUUCGGAAAGAAAGAUGUGAAAUCCCAGAGCUCAACUUUGGAACUGCAUUUUUAACUACCGGGCUAGAGUGUGUGAGAGGGAGGUGGAAUUCCGCGUGUAGCAGUGAAAUGCGUAGAUAUGCGGAGGAACACCGAUGGCGAAGGCAGCCUCCUGGGAUAACACUGACGAUCAUGCACGAAAGCGUGGGGAGCAAACAGG